rnacentral:rRNA from 1 species
CCUACGGGAGGCAGCAGUGAGGAAUAUUGGUCAAUGGGCGCGAGCCUGAACCAGCCAAGUCGCGUGAGGGAGGACGGCCCUACGGGUUGUAAACCUCUUUUGCCGGGGAGCAACGGUCGCCACGUGUGGCGUCACUGAGAGUACCCGGAGUAAAAGCAUCGGCUAACUCCGUGCCAGCAGCCGCGGUAAUACGGAGGAUGCGAGCGUUAUCCGGAUUUAUUGGGUGUAAAGGGUGCGUAGGCGGUUCGUUAAGUCAGUGGUCAAUUUAAGGGGCUCAACCCCUUCCCGCCAUUGAAACUGGCGAUCUUGAGUGGAAGAGAAGUAUGCGGAAUGCGUGGUGUAGCGGUGAAAUGCAUAGAUAUCACGCAGAACCCCGAUUGCGAAGGCAGCAUGCCGGCUUCCGACUGACGCUGAAGCACGAAAGCGUGGGGAGCGAACAGGAUUAGAUACCCGAGUAGUC